GAUGAAGAACGAAGCGAAAUGCGAUACGUAAUGUGAAUUGCAGAAUUCAGUGAAUCAUCGAAUCUUUGAACGCAUAUUGCGCUCUCUGGUAUUCCGGAGAGCAUGCUUGUUUGAGUAUCAGUAAACACCUCAACUCCCUUUUCUUUUUUGAAAUUGGAGCUGGACUUGAGUGAUCCCAACGCUUUCUUCCAAGAAAGUGGCGGGUUGCUUGAAAUGCAGGUGCAGCUGAACUUUUCUCUGAGCUAUAAGCAUAUCUAUUUAGUCUGCCUAAAAAACAGAUUAUUACCUUUGCUGCAGCUAACAUAAAGGAGACUAGUUCUUGUGCUGACUGAUGCAGGAUUCACAGAGACAGCUUCGGCUGACUUUGUAAACUCGAUCUCAAAUCAAGUAAGACUACCCGCUGAACUUAAGCAUAUCAAUAAGCGGAGGA
rnacentral:misc_RNA from 1 species